GACGAACGCUGGCGGCGUGCUUAACACAUGCAAGUCGAACGGAAAGGCCCUGCUUUUGUGGGGUGCUCGAGUGGCGAACGGGUGAGUAACACGUGAGUAACCUGCCCUUGACUUUGGGAUAACUUCAGGAAACUGGGGCUAAUACCGGAUAGGAGCUCCUGCUGCAUGGUGGGGGUUGGAAAGUUUCGGCGGUUGGGGAUGGACUCGCGGCUUAUCAGCUUGUUGGUGGGGUAGUGGCUUACCAAGGCUUUGACGGGUAGCCGGCCUGAGAGGGUGACCGGCCACAUGGGGACGGAGAUACGGCCCAGACUCCUAGGGGAGGCAGCAGUGGGGAAUAUGGCACAAUGGGCGGAAGCCUGAUGCAGCAACGCCGCGGGCGGGAUGACGGCCUUCGGGUGGUAAACCGCUUUCGCCUGUGACGAGGCGUGAGUGACGGUAAUGGGUAAAGAAGCACCGGCUAACUACGU
rnacentral:rRNA from 1 species